GACGUAGGGCGCGAGCGUUGUCCGGAUUUAUUGGGCGUAAAGAGCUCGUAGGCGGUUUGUUGCGUCAGCUGUGAAAACCCGCAGCUCAACUGUGGGCUUGCAGCUGAUACGGGCAGGCUUGAGUUCGGUAGGGGAGACUGGAAUUCCUGGUGUAGCGGUGAAAUGCGCAGAUAUCAGGAGGAACACCUGCGGCGAAGGCGGGUUGCUGGGCUGACACUGACGCUGAAGCGCGAAAGCUAGGGGAGCGAACGGG
rnacentral:rRNA from 1 species